AUUGAACGCUGGCGGCAUGCCUUACACAUGCAAGUCGAACGGCAGCACGGGGGCAACCCUGGUGGCGAGUGGCGAACGGGUGAGUAAUGCAUCGGAACGUACCCGGAAGUGGGGGAUAACGUAGCGAAAGUUACGCUAAUACCGCAUAUUCUGUGAGCAGGAAAGAGGGGGAUCGCAAGACCUCUCGCUUUCGGAGCGGCCGAUGUCGGAGUAGCUAGUUGGUGGGGUAAAGGCCUACCAAGGCGACGAUCCGUAGCGGGUCUGAGAGGAGGAUGCGCCACACAGGGCAGGAGCCAGGGCCCAGACUCCUACGGGAGGCAGCAGUGGGGAAUUUUGGACAAUGGGGGCAACCCUGAUCCAGCCAUGCCGCGUGAGUGAAGAAGGCCUUCGGGUUGUAAAGCUCUUUCGGCCGGGACGAAAUUGCACUCUCUAAUACGGGGUGUGGAUGACGGUACCGGAAUAAGAAGCACCGGCUAACUACGUGCCAGCCGCCGCCGUAAGAC
rnacentral:rRNA from 1 species